GAUGAACGCUGGCGGCGUGCCUAAUACGUGCAAGUCGAGCGAACAGACGAGGAGCUUGCUCCUCUGACGUUAGCGGCGGACGGGUGAGUAACACGUGGAUAACCUACCUAUAAGACUGGGAUAACUUCGGGAAACCGGAGCUAAUACCGGAUAAUAUAUUGAACCGCAUGGUUCAAUAGUGAAAGACGGUUUUGCUGUCACUUAUAGAUGGAUCCGCGCCGCAUUAGCUAGUUGGUAAGGUAACGGCUUACCAAGGCAACGAUACGUAGCCGACCUGAGAGGGUGAUCGGCCACACUGGAACUGAGACACGGUCCAGACUCCUACGGGAGGCAGCAGUAGGGAAUCUUCCGCAAUGGGCGAAAGCUUGACGGAGCAACGCCGCGUGAGUGAUGAAGGUCUUCGGAUCGUAAAACUCUGUUAUUAGGGAAGAACAAAUGUGUAAGUAACUAUGCACGUCUUGACGGUACCUAAUCAGAAAGCCACGGCUAACUACGUG
rnacentral:rRNA from 1 species